UACGGAGGGUGCAAACGAUGUUCGGAAUCAUUGGGCGUAAAGCGCACGUAGGCGGCGCGAUAAGUCGGAUGUGAAAGCCCUCGGCUCAACCGAGGAAGUGCAUUCGAAACUGUCGGGCUUGAGUACGGGAGGGGGUUGCGGAAUUCCCGGUGUAGAGGUGAAAUUCGUAGAGAUCGGGAGGAACACCAGUGGCGAAGGCGGCAACCUGGACCGAUACUGACGCUGAGGUGCGAAAGCGUGGGGAGCAAACAGG
rnacentral:rRNA from 1 species